rnacentral:lncRNA from 1 species
GGACUGGAAGUAUUUAGGCGGCAGCACCCAGCUCAAGGCCUGGACUAGAAGUGCUCAGCGCCCUGGAGUCGUGGGAAAAACACUGCCCUAUUCUUUGGUCUUUAGUCUUCGCCUAAAUCAGGAGAAACCAAACUUGGGGAAACAUGUUUGCGGUACAUUUGCUGGCAUUUUACUUCACCAAGCUAAAAGAGGAUCAGAUAAAGAAGGUAAGGACUCACAAAGCCGAGAGAUGUGGGGGCCUUCUGCAGAUCUCCUCCUGCAUCAGAAAAGGACUCAGGAGCUGGGGGUGUCGCUCAGGAGCAGAGCUGCUUGCCUAGCCCGGGGGAGACCCUGGGUUCCAUUCCUAGUUUCAGAGAGCUUAUGAAGAACAGCUCUGCCAGCCUCUGACAAGUAAAGACUCAGAGUGGGAAGGGGAGGUACGUCUGUAUACCCCUGGGCAGUGCCUUACUGUCCCGAACCCUGAAUUUCAGUGGAACUUUCUGGCAGAUAUCACAAAGGAAGGAGCUGAGGAGAAAGUGUAGGGAAUGCUUGAAGGAGUUUGUCUCAGGAAUGUAAGAGGAGGCUUGAUUCAGGGAUGCUUUGGGGGAAAGGCCACAUGGAAGAGUCAUUUGUAAAGAAGUUUUAAGAACUUUUGAAGAAGAUCUGAUUAUGCAUAUAUUUGAAAGCAUAUAAAAUAUAAGACCCCCAAGAGGAAUGUAAAAUUUAUUUGUUUGCAGUAACUGGGGAUGGAACCUGGGGCCUUGCUGUCUACCACUGAGCUAUAUCCCCAGUCCCUUUUGUUUUUAUUGAGACAGCAUCUCGAUAGGUUGUCCUGGCUGGCCUCAAACUUAUGAUCCUCCUGCCUCAGCCCCCUAAGUAGCUGGGAUUAUAGUGUUUGCCAUUGUGUCUGGCUAUAUAAUUUGCUUAUAUUAUAAUGUAUAUAUUUUACAUAUAUAUGUUUGUGUGUGUGUAUAUAUAUAUAUAUAUAUUUUUUUUUUUUUGAGGGCUCCAUAUAUAGUUCAUGCUAGCCUUGAAUUUCUGGCCUCAAGCCAUCCUCCUGUCUCAGUCUCCCAAAUAGCUGAGACUACAGGUGCAUACCACUGUGCCUCGUAGUUUUAAUGUGUGCUAAUUGAAAUGCUUAUUAUUAGCACAUGCUAUUUGCCAACAGUGCACUAUUAAAGGUGUGCAUUAUUUGGUCACUUUGCCCCAGGAACUAGAUUACAAAACUCAUUCCAAAUUUGGCUAGUUAAAGGUUGCCAAGGUCAACUGUGGGUAAUCAGAUUCUCUCCAGGCAGCUGAAACAAGCCUGCCUUUCGGGCUGCACUGGGCCAACUGACUGUCAGAAGCAGCAGGGCCACCGAGUGGCAUGACUCAAUUUAUAGAUAACAGACGGACUCAGCCAAGGUCACCCAGGUAUUUAAGGUGAAAUCCAACUAAACCUACAUCUGAGAUUGCUAAUCCCAGCUGUUUCUAUUUGCUAUGAUGUCUUCCUGCUUUUCCAAAUAAGAGGAUGAAGCCCUCACAGCCUUAGUGUGUUUGGUGAGAUAAACUUCCACUAAAUUCUAUUCAUGAGGAAGUUAGGUGAGAGGUACAGCAAACUUAGAAAUAUAAAGCAGUGAGUUUAACCUUUUAAUUUGUAUUUGUUGGCUAGACUCACAGAGCCCCCUACUGGAGACUUGAGGAGGUGAACGAAUACUCCGCAGCCCUGCUUGGGAUUCCCUUCCUGUUAUUACCUUUGCUUGGGAAAGAUGCAACUCUCACUCCCAAGAGGGAGGCUUGGAACCCUGAAAUCUUUGGUUCUGCAAAGUUAUUUCAUUUCCUUGGCCCCUCUGUGGUGGCUGACCUUUUGUUCCACCCUAGGUUAAGGCAAGACAUGUUUGUCCACCAGCCCAAUUACAGGCUCCGAUGGCCUCUGUGGAAACGCAGGCUCCCGGGUCCUUUUGCAAGAAUCAGUCUUUGUAAAUACCUGGAGUCAACCUGCCCCCUCCCUGUGGGAGGCAAGAAAGUGGAGCAUUUUGCAGUUAACCUGGGAACCUAAGUGUUUCUGGGGGAGCCUGCUUUGUGGCUCUUGGGCUGAGUCAUAGAUUCUGAGAACAUUCCUCCAUGUGAAUGUUCUCAGAAACACAUCUGGUCAAAAGGCACCCUGUGGUCCUGUAGCCAGUCCUGUCUUAGCUUGUGCCUCUAGAACGUCUGAGCUCACACAUGCCUGCAAAGGUUACUAUUCAGACUCUGGAACGGGUUUUUUUGUUUUUUGUUUUAAAUCUCCUCUUUCCAACAUUAAAGACAAAAAUAAAACAAAACAAAUAAGAAGAAUGGAAAAGAGGAACCCUCUGACAGCUUCUUUUCCAAUUCAGUAUGUUGACAUUAUUUGACCUGUCGAUAGCACUUGGCCGGGCCUGGACACUGACCUGCAGACUGCUCUUCCAUAAGAACAGGACAGGUCAGGUUUUCAGUGAGUCUUUUUUAUGGUUUAGUAAGUCAACAUUAUGAAAAUGUGGAAAUGUUGCCUUUAUUUUUUAUUUUAUUUAUUUAUUUGGUACCAGGGGGAUUGAACCUGGAGGGGUUUAACCACUGAGCCACAUUCCCAGCCCUUUUUUAUAUUUUAUUUAGAGACAGGGUCUCUGAGUUGCUUAGGGCCUUGCUAAGUUGAUGAGACUGUCUUUGAACUCAAGAUUCUCCUGCUUCAACCUCCCAAGCCACUGGGAUUACAGGUGUGCGCCAUGGUGCCUAGUGAAAUGUCACCUUUAAUUUAUCUUUAAUGACAAAUACUGUCAUGUAUGUUAUGUGGGUGCCCUUGUGGCCAUUUUUUUUCCCAUUAUUAUAUCGAUAAUGUGCUGUAUGUACAGUUCUGCAUCUUUCUUUUUUCUUUUUGGUACUAGGGAUUGAACCCAGGGGCAAUCACUUAGUCACAAUCCCAGCCCUUAUUUAUAUUUUAUUUAUUAUUUAUAUUUUAUUUAGAGACAGGAUCUGACUGAGUUGCUUAGGGUCUCACUAAAUUGCUGAGACUGGCUUUGAACUCGAGAUCUUCCCGCCUCAGCCUCCCGAUCCUCUGGGAUUACAGGCAUGGGCCACUGUGCCUGGCUCAGUUCUGCAUCUUGAUUUUAGCACUUAUUGUUUUGUUGUAAAUGCUUAUAUCCACUCCUCCAUUAUCUGAAUAAUUAUUAAUUUAAUGUCUUCCUAAUAUUUAUUAAGUAGGUAUGUCACAAUUUAUUUAAACUUUGCCUUCUCAAUGACAUUUGGAUCCUCAAAAAUAUUCUUUUUUAGCAACUAAAAUAUUGUUACAUAUGUGAGAUCAUUUGAGUUCUCUGUUCAAAAAUUUUUCCUAAUUUGACUCAGAAUGAAAGUCAGAUUCCUUACAAUGAAAAAUAUAUUGCCAUGACAAAGAUGGGCCUGUGAUUAUUUUUCUCCAUAUUUAGCAUUAUUUAAAAGGUUAAAUCUGACUGCUUUAUAUUUUUAAGUUUGCUGUACCUCUCACCUAACUUUCUCAUUUAAUAAAUAGAAUUUGGUGGAAGUUUCUCUCACUGGCUGUCAGAAGCAGCAGGAUAGAUUCCUGAAGUGAAACCAGUAGGUCAAAGAGCAGAACCUCUUUAUGACUCUUGUUUCGUCCCAGGAGACCUCUGGACUAAGUGAUCCCUAAGGCCCCAUCCAGCUUCUACAUUUUGCAGUUCAACAGUUCUGAGCUUCAAGGGGUGUUAACAACCCUUGUUGUUUGUGAAUUUGCUUUUUCCAAGAUAAACGCGAUGGUUGCUGGCUCUCCUGUUUAGAUGACAUUUCCUAUUACAGUUUGUGAGUCCCUCCAAAAGUGAGCUUGCUGUUCUGCAACCCCAACUCCCUCCUUUGGUGCCGGGGACAUGUGUCCCUGGUUACACAUGCCCCAGAUCACCUGCAUGGAUUAAAAAGAUAGUUUUUUUUUUCUUCCUGUCCUAACAAACAUACAUUUCAUUCUUCCUGUUUAGCUACUGGGCCAGGGACAUAAAGAAUAGAUAAGAAACUGCUGGGUUGACAUUCUUUCCACCAUAACUUUGACUUAUUGAAAGCAGAAGCCACCAAUGGGCUAAAUGACACUGGCAGGAUGCAGUUCACAAUGGCCCCCAAAGGACCUCAAAAGCCGUGUCUUACUUACGAGGAUGUCGUUCUGUGGAUGCCUGAGAAGCUCUUGAUACUCUCAGGCAGAGCAAAAAUGAUCAGCAGGUUGAGGGGGCACAGCCUGAGGGGCUUUGACGUGAUGAUAAAGGACCAAGCUUGGUUCCCACAUGGGGCAUUCCCACUCUUUCUUCUCCAACCCCAAUUACGUGGGUCACGUCCGGUCCGUGCGGUUUUUUGUGAUUGUGUGUGGCUGUGCCACCAAUUAAUCCUCAACAGACGCGGGUGAGUAGGAAGCGCCUAAUGAAGCCUGACCUGGUUAUAGUCUUUCUUCUCAGACCCGCGGAAACCCAGUGCUCCUUUAUUGUUAACAACCCUCUAAUGGUUUUCUGGCCUCUCUCUGGUCCCCAAGUCCCCAGAGCCAUGAGGCCCUUUCACUGGAUUGGGUCUUUCUGUCCCUCUGAGGCCUGGCUGACGGCUGGGCACCCUCCUAGGAUAAAGAGGGGAGCCUUGUGCUUCUGGUGUCAUUUGUUGGUUGGGCACAUGGAUCCCCCAUGGAGCUGUGAGCCAAAACCAGGCUGCGGAGUGGUCCCGGUGCUGUCCCUAAUCUACACCUCUAUGAAUGCUCCUUCUGGCUCCAAGCCUUGUAUUCCUCAUCUCUCAGUUAGGGACAAUAACUGUUGCCUCAUCUGGCUGCUUCAAAGAGAUAUCAUAGGGUUUUCAUUUUUUGGUAAUGGGAAUUGAACCCAGGGGCGCUUAACCACUGAGCCACAACCCCAGCCCAGGAGCAAACUUUUCUCUAAGAACACGUGUUACAGUCUAUAAAGUACUUUUGUGUAUGUCACCUCAUCAAAUCUCUAUGACAGCUGGGUACGCUGGCACAUGCCUAUAAUCCCAGAGGCUGGGGAAGCUUUUCUGCCCUUCCUGAUGUGGUAUCUUAACACCAAGUGGACUGAACACACCCGUGCUUUUUAUCGCUUCCUUCCUUUGGGGUAGGGGUCCUUUGCCUCAAUUUCUUGGUUACUUGAAUGACAUCCGCUCAUUUCCAAUAGCAAUUUGAGAUGAGUUUAAAAAUUAAACUUCAUUUUAAUUAGGACAACCAGUUAAAUCAAAAUGGAAAUAUAAAGGAUUAGAUUUUAUUUUUAAAGGAAAUUUUUUUUUUUUUUUUGGUGCUGAGGAUUGAACCCAGGGGUACUCAACAACUGAGCCAUAUCCCCAUCCCUUACUACUUUUUAUUUAUUUAUUGACUUUUUGGUACAGGGGAUUGAACCCAGGGGUGCUGAGUCACAUCCCCAGCCCUUUAUAUUUUUUUUAUUUUGAGAAAGGGUUUUGCUACAUUGCUGAGGCUGGCCUCAAACAUGCAAUCCUCCUGCUUCAGUCUCCCCAGUCGCUGGGAUUAUUGGCAUGUGCCACUGCACCCGUAAGGACUAGGUUUUAAAGAUUGCAGUUGGAAACUGAAUUUAGUUCUGAGCUUCCUAACAGCCAAUAAACAAAGGGAAAUGUUUUUGGAUAUGUCUAUAAUCAUAAUUGGAUCAAAGGAAAUUGCCCUGUUUAGGAAUUGAAGAUUCAGGCUAUAGACUGUCCUUGCCAGUGGAGAGGAAAUGGUACCACAGGAGAGGCCUUGAGGUGGGAAUUGGAAGCCCUGCAUGCUCCAGGAAGUCCCUACCCCCUGGCUACUGUCUGGUCAGAAUAGCAGGAAGUCGAUUCUUCCCCAGAGCUUGCCCUUUAGGAGGAAUAAGCGGGCACCUCUCAGUCUUCCGUUUCAUCUGCUCCCCCAGCUCCCCACUUCGUCCCUGGCUGGUGGAGGGGCCAGCUAAGGAGACAGUGGGAGAGCCCAUCACAAAGCUGCCCCUCAGUUGGGAUGCAGCCUCAGGGUGGGAGUGGGAGUUUACAGCCUUGGCUGCAGGGCAAGCACCCCCACCUGCCAACCCUGUCACCCCAACAUCUGUUCCAGGUGGACAGAUUCCUGUAUCAUAUGCGGCUCUCUGAUGAGACCCUUCUGGACAUCAUGGCCCGGUUCCAGGUUGAGAUGGAGAAGGGCCUGGGGAAGGACACCAACCCCACGGCCUCGGUGAAGAUGCUGCCCACCUUUGUCAGGGCCAUUCCAGAUGGCUCAGGUGAGUGGGGCUGGGGCUUCCGGACCUGGUCCCUGGCUCCUCCUGACUGAUGAGUCCCUGAUGUUUGCUUUUAUACCCAUCUUCUCUCCCCAUGUCCCUUCUCCCUGACCCUCUUGGCUUCAGUGCUGCUGACCACCUUUGGGAUCCACACAUUAAGACACCUGGCAUUCUCGCUGCCUCUGUUGGCCUCACACAUUCUGUCCUCUGUCUCUUUCUCUUUUUGGUACCAUGGAUUGAACCCAGGGGUGCUUAACUGCUGAACCACAUCCCCAACCCUUUUUAUAUUUUAUUUUGAGGUAGGGUCCCCAAGUUGCUUAGGGCCUCGCUGUUGCUGAGACUGGCUUUGAACUUGCAAUCCUCCUGCCUCAGCCUCCUGAGUCGCUGAGAUUACAGGUGUGCACCACCGCACUCAGCCUGUCUCCUGUCUUACUGCAGCAUCCCCCCAUUCUCGCCCUGGUGAGCACCACCUUAGCUUUCCAAGAGUAGUCUAGAAAGAUCACUCAGUGCCUCAGAUGGGAAGCAUCCUCCUACUGGGUCAGGUGCUUAUCAGAAUCCUGCUCACCAUGGUGGAUGAGAGUCUCCCCUGGACUAAUGGCUCCAUGAGGCCUGGGACUUAUUCACCGCAGCGUUCGGAGCAUCUAAUGCACUGUGGACCUGACAUAGGAGUUGAAAGAACAAUAAAUGGCAUUCAUUCCUAGAUGCCUAGAUUCUAGGCUAGAGAAAUAAUGAAAGGAAGCAUGUUGCAAUGGAAAGAGAAUUAAAUGACAAUUCAAGAAAAUUAGAUUGUAGGCCUGACACUCUGACACUCCUUGGUGACUUUGGGCAAGUGAUGAGCCUUGAUUUCUCCAUCUGUAGAAUGAGAGCAUUGGCCUAGGUAUUGGUUUCUAUCGUUGUGUUUUAUUUUGAUCUCAGUUGCUUAGGGCCUUGCUGUUGCUGAGGCUGGCUUUGAACUUACCUUUGUAGGGGUGAGCGGGAGCAGGCUGGCUGGCCCAGGGGUCUGCAUUAGGACUAGGCUCCAUAUUUGCCUGGGCAUAAGAUUUAGAUUCACCCUGGGCAAUUCCUAAACAUGUGGUUUCCCAGGUCUCUCCCUGGAGGUCUAGUAAAAUUUAGUGGAUUCACACGACACAAAUGUACGCUCUUACAGUCUGGCGGUCAGAACUCUGAAAUGGUUCUCGUUGGGCUAAAAUCAAAGGGUUGGCAGGGCUGCCUUCUCUCUGGAGGCUCCAGGGAGCACAUCUCCCUGCCUUUUCCAGCUUCUGGGAGCCACCACGUUCCUUGGUUUAUACUCCUUUCUGUCUUCAAAGCCAGCAGUGUCACGUCAUCAAAUCUUUCUCUGGAAGCUGGGUGUGGUGGCUCAUGCCUGUAAUUCCAGCAACUUGAGAAGCUGAGACAGGAGGAUCAUGAGUUCAAAGCCAGCCUCAGCAACUCAGCAAGGACCUCAGCAACUUAGCAAGACCCUGUCUCUAAAUAAAAAUAAAAAAGGGCUGGAUUGUGCCUUGGUGGUAAAGCAUCCCUGAGUUCAAUCCCCCAGUACAAAAAACAAAAUCAAGCUGGGUACAGUGGCACACACCUGUAAUUCCAGCAAUUGGGAGGCGGAGGCAGGAGGAUCGUGAGUUCAAAGCCAUCCUCAGCAAAAAGUGAGGCCCUGUCUCUAAAUAAAAUAUAAAAUAGGGCUGGGGAUGUGGGUCAGUGGUCGAGUGCCCCUGAGUUCAAUCCCCUGUACCAAAGGGAAAAAAAAAAAUCAAAUCUUUCCCUAUCUCUGACCCUCUGCCUCCCUCUUCCACACUUAGAGACCCUCUGAUUACAUUAGGCCCAUUCAGAUUAUCCAAGAUCAUCUCUCAGGCUCAAGGUCAACUGAUGAUCAAUUUUGAGUCUCUUUAGUUCCCCUUUGCCAUUUGCUCUAACAUAAUCAGGGAUUGGGACAUGAGGGGAUGGGGGCAUUAUUUUGACUACCACAGCCUAGGGCUCUCUAGAUGGGAUCUGGGAGUUCCUACCUGACCGCUCCAUUCUUAGCAAAGCCAGAAGAGAGAAAAGAACUGGUAAUUACUGAGCAUCUACUGAGGUCACGAAACACUAGGAACUCACUGCCAGUGUUCCACAUAGAACCCUGUGGAGAAGAUGCAGGUCAGAUGGGAACAGUGCUCAGAGCCUUAGGGCCCCGGAAGGAGCAGGGGCUGAAGCUUGGGGAGUUCUCAGGGGGCCUUUGAUUUGAUUAGUUGAAUUCUGGGUCACUCUGGGGCAAUGUUUGGGUCAAAGUAGCUUGGCUCUGUUGGUUGAGAGGCCUGGCCUCCUUGCUGACAGAUGUGUGAUCCUGAUAGGCAGAACAUGAGCUUUGAAGGGAGACAACCAUACUUUGAAAUCUCAGCCCCACCUCUGGCAGUACUCCAUGAGAGUGUGAAGGGGCCUGUGGUCCUUGAUGGGUCCUUCCGGGCCAUUCUGCAGAAGCAUCUGAGUCACAGGGUGUGCGUGGGGUUGUUGAGGAGCACGAGGGCUAAGUCCUCCUUGCUUCCUGAGCUGUGGCCCCACCUCCAGAUACCAAGAAGGUGUGGCCCCAAGAAGCAAAGAGAGUGGCCUUGGAUGAUCUGGAGAUAUGGGGCUGGCUGCUUCAGAUGGUUUAGAAGUGAGGUUGAUCAUGUUCCAGAAACUCCACCUUCCUCAGGUUUUUCACUGUUCACUUAGAACCUCUCACCUACCACAUGGUGCCAGUGGUUCUGUUGCAGAGAGGUCCCUGGGCCCAAGUAUCUAAUGAGCCCUUGCAAACCCCAGGACCACUGUGCUCCUGUCCUCAUCCGUGCAAGGGGAUGGUCAGCGUGCCCAUCCGACAGUGGGACUGUAAAUGGAGGGGCCACAGGAGUUUCUCCCUUCCUCUCCGAAGACUUGAAUCUUUUCAUUUGGUGAAGUGAAAUGACAAUAGAAAGAUCCACAGGAGAGCUAGUGUGCAAAUUUAUUAAUGUUCACGGACACACAGGAGCCACACAUAAUGGGAAACUUGAACAAGAGUGGGGGUGGCUGUUGUGGCUUACAUACCCUCUUCAUAAGGGAGAGGGAAGUGGGGGAUAAGGCAAUCUCAGAGGGGUAGUAAAUGAUUUUUAGGGCCAAAGCAUAAGCCCAGAGAGCAGACAAUGGGCUGGGACAAAGUUCUUCCAGGCUCUAGGUAUGGUAUUUGGUUUUCGGUCUCCUUGGUGAUAAGAAGUAACCUUCCUUGGUUAAUGACAUCUCGGUAGAGGACUGAAGGCGAAUGUGUUCCUUCUCGGCAGAUCGGGUCCCUGGGCAGACGAGGGGACUCCAGGGAAGGCCCUUCCUGAAUUUGCUGCUUUCCAGGUGCUCCAGAGUGGCGCAUUUGGGGGUCUUGUUUUCGGAGCUGACAUUAGGAUCCAGUGUGGUUAUGUGAAUGAAGUGCUUUAAAAUCUCCCAGAUGUUGUCCCCAGUCUUCUGUGACUCUUGUGAGCUGAUGGUGUCAUUUCGUGAUUACUGACAAAAUCAAAUAACCCUCUCCUGAUCCCUGGGAGCUUCCAUUCAGAAAUGUAUGCAAUUUCCCUCGAGCUCCUUCUGCGUCUGCUCGCCUCCAUAGCUUCCCCUCUCCUGAGGGUGUCAACCGUCUCCUGAGGCUGACUCACCUCCCAGCCUUUUAAAAAUCUGCCAGGGACCAUUCUUAGGACCAAGAGCCUUCACAGUGUUUUAUCAUCCUCCACCUCUAGCAGGUGUGGAAGGAGGGGCCCCAGAAGCCCCCAGCCUGGGGUGGGGUGAAGGUGGUUAGGGGGCCUCAGCAGGACCCCAGCUGGCUUCUGCCUCCACGUGCUUCCUAGACCUGCACGUAGGCCUGGGAUGAGCCCAGGGGCUCUGAAGUUACCUGCCAGCAUGGCUGAUGGUCCCAGAGGGUUUGUAGUUGUCUGAGAAUGAGAAUCAGAUUCACCUGGAACAAUUCCCAAACCCGGUUUUCCUAGCCUCUCCCUCUGGAGAUGGAAUGUCCAGAAUCUCUGCUGCGGGUCAUUGUGCACCUUCAGGAGACACGGCACUGGGGAGUGCAGAGGGAAGGAAGGCACGGACCCUGGCAUUGCUUAGGAGAAAGGAACCCCCAUCUCUGAGCAUCAUAAGCCGCCAGCAGAUGGUGGAAAAUAGUCUGCCCAACUGGGAGGCCCUGAAGGCCCCCCGCUGUCCUGGCCCCCCUCCUCUGCCUGGGCAGGGCCUCCCUCCCUCAGGCUCCAGUGAGUUCUUCCUGUGGGGUUAGAGUCACAUCACAGGAGGGAUCACACCACGUGGUUUCCAUGAAACAGCACCUUGAGUCACCAGAGGAGUGACAUGUUUGCACAGUGAUAACGGCACUCUGUGUGGUGUCGGGGGUGGGGAGAGGAAGAUCUCCACACUAGCCAGGUCUCACACUGCCAUUUGUGCAGCCCCAUAGCCUCCUCUUUUGCUAAACCCUCGGGCUACCCUGAUUGGUGCCAGAGGUUUUCUUUGUUCCCUCAAAAUAUCAAUCAGACUGUGGCAUUCCCUUGCUCAAAAUCUUUCUGUGAGCCAGGUGCAGUGAUGCACACCUCUAGUCCCAGCAGCUCAGGAGGCUGAGGCAGGAGGAUCAUGAGUUCAAAGCCAGCCCUCAGCAACUCAGUGAGGCCCUAAGCAACUCAGUGAGACCCUGUCUCUAAAUAAAAUAUAAAAAGGGCUGGGGAUGGGGCUCAGAGUUUAAGUGUCCCUGGGUUCAAUCCCCUAUACCAAAACAACAACAACAACAACAACAAAAAAAACCAAGCAAACAACAACAACAAAACUUUCUGUGGCUCCUGCUCACCUUCUGGAUAAAGCCCUAACUCUCUGGGGUAGGGUGACUUUUCUAGAUCCUUCCUGAUUUACCCCAGACUACCUUCCAGGCCCAUUUCUGCUUCAGAACCACAGGCGCCCAUUCCUUUGCUCAUGGUCUCUUCUUCCUGGAACACGGCUGUCCCCUGCCUGGCUACCUAACUUGCUCUCGUCCCCACACUCAGCUGUGUCUGCCCCCUCCCAGCUCUGAUUUGGGCACCUCUUCCUGCACUUUCCACCAUUAGAGUCCCUGUCCUCCUGAUGGAAAUGGCUUUCUUCCGCACCUGCACUGCCGAUAAACUCCCCAAGGCAUCUGCAGCCUUUCAUCUUUGCAUUCCUAGCACCAGGCCUGGGACAUGGCACUGACAGGUGCCCCAUAUAUGUUUGCACGUGGAUUGUGUGAUCUACUGAUUUCCACACCAAGGAAACGUCUGGGUGAGCAUCUCCAGCUGCUGCAUGAGACGUGCUCAUAAGAGAUGGAUAAGGUUUGCUCCCUGGAGUCCCCAGCCAGGUAUCAUGGCUUCACCUGGCUCAUUUCAGAGCUGAUCUGGGAAGAUAAUCUCCAGAUGUUUCCACAGAAACAAAAGAUGAAGCUGGCUGAGUCUAUAAAUGAGGGUUCUCCACCCUGGAGACCUGGGCGCUUGUUUAGAAGUGCAGAAUCUCAACCCAAUGGAUCACUAGCUGUAUGCUCUGAGCCAGCUGAGGCUCUGCCUCUAGCUCAUUGCUUGCCCAGAUUGGAGAAACCCACCGGAGCCCAGUCAAGGAAAACACGAUGUGUGAGGUCAUGACACGAGGGACACAAGAUCACGUGGGAAUCCAAGGGCAGGAGUGGUGGUGUACUCAGGCCUCAAGGGGACUGGGCCUUGAAUGCUUUCUGCCUGUGAUUGCUACUUGCAGGUGACCCCGUUGGCUUCCUGCCUGACCACAAGGGUCAGAAGCACUGACGUUUUGGUUUCUACCAUCUACUAGCAACUUCCUCUGUGUUUUAUUUCAUGCUUUACAAGGAGUGACUCUGGCCAGCUGGCUCCUGAGAUCCAGGCAGGUGUGACAGCCAUCAUGUAGUAGGACACAAGGCCUGUGGGUGCUGGGUUUGUGAAUUGGAAGUUUCACUGACCUGUGCUGUGGGCAUGUAUCCUGAAGCACCCCUGGUACUGGAACCUACUCUUUAGGCAUGAAUAAUAUGUACAAAGGCUUGUUGUCAAAGGGGUACAGGCCUGAGUUUGCAUUCCAUCUCUGGCUGAUGCCAAAGGCACUGGCAGAGAUCCUGAGUCCAUGUGGCCAGGGCAGCCACACCAGCAUGUGUGUCAUUUCUAUGUUUUGGUAACGGGCGUCUUUCUUGGACCAGGCUGUGUAGUGUUCCAUUUUCUCCUUUUGGAAUGGCUCUGGCCUAAAAAUUAAGCAUCCAGCUGGGCGUGGUGGCACACGCCUAUAAUCCCAGUGACUUGGGAGGCUGAGGCAAGAGGAUUGCAAGUUCAAGGCCAGCCUCAGCAACUUAGUGAGGCCCUCAGCAUCAUAGCAAGACCCUGUCUCAAAAUAAAAAAUAGAAAGGGCUGGGGAUGUGGCUCAGUGGUUGAGCACCCCAGGGUUCAAUCCCUGGCACCAAAAAACAAGGGUUCACAUGUGUCUUCCCCAAAUGAACAUUCUCAUUUCCUGCAGCUUGGCUGAGUGGGGUGAACUCAGGCUGCAGAGUCGAACAUACCUGGGCUCACACCUCACUUCUGUCCCCUGCUGCAGUGGCUCAGACACACGCUGCACUCCUCAAGCCCCCCCCCGCCAAGUGAGCAUGCUGACACUCGCCCAGGGGGUGGUCGUGAGCACUAAUGGCAUUUCCAUGUCCACCUUCCAACACUGAGCUCACCAUAGCGCAGACCUCAGUGAACAGUGCCUGUCUUUUGUUUCUUAAUAGAAAAUGGGGAAUUCCUUUCCCUGGAUCUUGGAGGAUCCAAGUUUCGAGUCUUAAAGGUGCAAGUCUCUGAGGAAGGGAAACGAAAUGUCCAGAUGGAGAGUCAGUUCUACCCAAUGCCCAAUGAAAUCAUCCGGGGAAACGGCUCGGAGGUACGGGGCAGGCGGGGAAGGCCUUGUCACCAGGGGUGAGAAACUGUGCCUUGGGCCCAUGUCCUGUGCGUUUUCUUUCUGCAGCUGUUUGACUACGUGGCUGACUGCCUGGCAGAUUUCAUGAAGACCAAAGACUUGCAGCAUAAGAAACUGCCCCUUGGCUUUACUUUUUCUUUUCCCUGCAAACAGACUAAGUUGGAAGAGGUAAGCCUGCGGGGUUGGAGAAGGUGCACUUGCGCAGGAGCCCGGCUGGGCACAGUGGGGACAGUAGGAGCUUUCUGGAUUAUCUUUCCCUCCACUGUUUGCUAGUGAUGAGAUGGCAGAGACCUGGUUAACACCGUGGCCUUGACUCUGCUCUUAACACGAGCAAAGCACAAAGGAGGGAGUGGAAUGGUUUCCAGUGGUUCUCAAACCUUGGGAUGCAGUUGAAACCCCUGGAGGGCUUGGGACCCAGGUUGCUGGGAUCCACAGAAUCACUGGGUCUGCAUCCAGGCCCUAAAUUUGCAUUUCUAACAGGUAAUAGGAGACACGGAGCUGCUGGUUUGAGGACCAGAGUUAGGACCAUUGACACUGCUGCCUAGUAUUGGAGUGGGAAGCCUCGGGCAUCUCUGUGAAAAUAAGUUAAGGGCCAGGGACAAUGAGCUUUCUGGGGGCCCAGGGGUUACUGUCAAGAGUGAAGUCUCUCCAGGCCACUCCUGUUUGCGGGGUGGUGGCCUCUAAAUCUCCUACUGCACACUCUGGCUAUGACACCCAAUGGUUCAUCAUAAGUGGCUUGGGCCACUUACUGCUUGGUGCUGGUAGUAGAGCUUCCAUAUCCCCCAGACCUGGCCUUGAAUCACGGUGUCUCCUUGAACAAGUUACUUAACUUCCGAGCCUUUUGUUUGUUCAUUCAUAAAACAAGGGUGAUAAUAUUUACUUGCUGGUUAAAGGGAAGCUUGACAGAUUAUUUGUAAAGAGCUUAACGUGGUGCAUAAGCCAUAGCCACUGGGUCCGGAUGACUGUCUCUGUGCUUUUGUACCUCAUUCCAAAGCCAACAGGUGUCUCUGGAGGGCAGGUGCUGUUUGUCUGAUUCUCUACCCCCCCCCCCACUUUAACAGGUGCUUGAUAACUAUCUUACAAUUCAAAGGUGCUGUCAAUCAUUUGAUUCCAUUGAGUAGGAACUUGCCAUCCUCUCUUCAGCAAAGCAAGGCUGAGGUUUUCUUUCUUUCAUAAAUAAAAGGAUUGGGGGGAAAUAACAGAAAGAAGGUUUCGGAAAAUGUUUAGAUGAGACCUUGAUGAACUUAGAUCUGAGCUUCACUGACAUUGCUGUGUGGAAGAGCAGAGGCGGGCAGUUGGGAAUCAGGUGUUCAAGUCAGUCCGAGGUGCAGGCUUUGAGCCAAAGAUUAAUCACCUGUCACCUGGGGCCCAAGGAAGCAGGGAGAGUUUCUCAGGCUUUGUGGGGGUCAGUUUACCCUCAGGAUGUGUGAUUAAGGGAGCUUCUUUGAGAAAUUAAAAGUGAUUAAAGAAGAUAAGGGCUUGAGAAUUAAAAGGCAUCUACUUGGUUUGGGGGGUUUAUUGCUUAAUUUUUUUGGUGCUGGGUACUGAACCCAGGGCUUCUCUCACUCUAAGCAUUUGCUCUGCUACUGAGCUACAGCCUUGAUUUUGUGUGGGUCUGAGUAUGUUCGGGGUAGGUACUGGGAAUUGAACCCAGGGGCCACUGAGCUAUACCCCAAACUUUUGUUUUGUUUUGUUUUUGAGAUAUAGUCUUGCUAAGUUGCUAGACCAUAAACUUGCAUCCUCCUGCCUCAGCCUCUUGAGUACCUGGGGUUACAGGCAUGUGCCACUGUGCCCAGCAAUCAUUGUUUUCUUUCUUUCUUUUAUUUUUUUAAAUGAGAGAGCAGAAAAGCCAAGCCAAAGAUAAAUUUUUCUGUGUGUUCUCAUGGUAAAAUAGUCAUUUUUUUUUUUUUUUUGAGAGAGAGAGAGAGAGAGAAUUUUUUUUUUAAUAUUUAUUUUUUAGUUUUCGGUGGACACAACAUCUUCAUUUUAUUUUUAUGUGGUGCUGAGGAUCAAACCCAGCGCCCCACGAAUGCCAGGCAAGCGUGCUACUGCUUGAGCCACAUCCCCAGCCCGGUCAUACUUUUUUAAGAUUUAAAAAAUGAGGGUUGCCGGGUGCAGUGGUACACACCUGUAAGCCCGGAAUGCUUGGGAUGCUGAGGCAGGAAGAUUAAGAGCUCAAAGCCAAUCUCAGUAACUUAGUGAGACCCUAAGCAACUCGUUAGAGACAGACUAACUUAGAGACAGACUUAAAGAAGAAAAUAGAAAUCACCUCCAAUCCCGGAAUUCAGAAAUAUCUGUUUCUAGAACUGCAGGAUUUCUCAUCUAGUCACAUCUACAUUAAAUACUAAUGUCAUGCUGUGAAUAGUUUUAAAAUAAAUAGUUGUAUGUUAUUAUUUAUUUUUCCACAACUUAAUAUUAUACCACGAGCCUUUAUCCCUCAGUUUCCCAUACACUUUUUCCCUAACAGAUCCCACAUUUUCCCUGGUACCCUUUGGAGGGAGAAGCCACUCUACACCUCACUCUCUCUGAUGAACCUGGAUCAUGAAAAGCCUAUGGAGAAAAAAAAAAAAAAAAGCCUAUGAAAAAUAAGUUAGAGAGAGCUACCGCGGGGUGGCGCUGUGGUGCAGCAUAGAAACCUGGCGGCGGACCGGAGUCAGAG